rnacentral:rRNA from 1 species
AGUGAACGCUGGCGGUAGGCCUAACACAUGCAAGUCGAACGGCAGCACAGUAAGAGCUUGCUCUUACGGGUGGCGAGUGGCGGACGGGUGAGGAAUACAUCGGAAUCUACUUUUUCGUGGGGGAUAACGUAGGGAAACUUACGCUAAUACCGCAUACGACCUACGGGUGAAAGCAGGGGAUCUUCGGACCUUGCGCGAUUGAAUGAGCCGAUGUCGGAUUAGCUAGUUGGCGGGGUAAAGACCCACCAAGGCGACGAUCCGUAGCUGGUGUGAGAGGAUGGUCAGCGACAUUGGAAGGUGGACAGCGUCCAUGCGCCUGCGGGAGGGAGCAGUGGGGAAUGUUGGACAAUGGGCGCAAGCCUGGUACAGCCAGCCCGCGUGGGAGAAGAAGGCCUUCGGGUUGUAAAGCCCUUUUGUUGGGAAAGAAAAGCAGCAGGUUAAUACCCCGCUGUUCUGACGGUACCCAAAGAAUAAGCACCGGCUAACUUCGUG